UACAGAGGGUGCGAGCGUUAAUCGGAAUUACUGGGCGUAAAGCGCACGUAGGUGGCUUGGCAAGUCGGGUGUGAAAUCCCCGGGCUUAACCUGGGAACUGCAUUUGUGACUGCAUGGCUAGAGUGCGGCAGAGGGGGAUGGAAUUCCGCGUGUAGCAGUGAAAUGCGUAGAUAUGCGGAGGAACACCGAUGGCGAAGGCAAUCCCCUGGGCCUGCACUGACGCUCAUGCACGAAAGCGUGGGGAGCAAACAGG
rnacentral:rRNA from 1 species